CAUGCAGUCGAACGCUGAAGCACCAGCUUGCUGGUGUGGAUGAGUGGCGAACGGGUGAGUAAUACGUGAGUAACCUGCCCUUGACUCUGGGAUAAGCCCGGGAAACUGGGUCUAAUACUGGAUGCUACAUGUCACCGCAUGGUGGUGUGUGGAAAGGGUUUACUGGUCUUGGAUGGGCUCACGGCCUAUCAGCUUGUUGGUGAGGUAAUGGCUCACCAAGGCGACGACGGGUAGCCGGCCUGAGAGGGUGACCGGCCACACUGGGACUGAGACACGGCCCAGACUCCUACGGGAGGCAGCAGUGGGGAAUAUUGCACAAUGGGCGAAAGCCUGAUGCAGCGACGCCGCGUGAGGGAUGACGGCCUUCGGGUUGUAAACCUCUUUCAGCAGGGAAGAAGCCACAAGUGACGGUACCUGCAGAAGAAGCGCCGGCUAACUACGUGCCAGCAGCCGCGGUAAUACGUAGGGCGCAAGCGUUGUCCGGAAUUAUUGGGCGUAAAGAGCUCGUAGGCGGUUUGUCGCGUCUGCUGUGAAAGCCCGGGGCUUAACCCCGGGUGUGCAGUGGGUACGGGCAGACUAGAGUGCAGUAGGGGAGACUGGAAUUCCUGGUGUAGCGGUGGAAUGCGCAGAUAUCAGGAGGAACACCGAUGGCGAAGGCAGGUCUCUGGGCUGUUACUGACGCUGAGGAGCGAAAGCAUGGGGAGCGAACAGGAUUAGAUACCCUGGUAGUCCAUGCCGUAAACGUUGGGCACUAGGUGUGGGGGACAUUCCACGUUUUCCGCGCCGUAGCUAACGCAUUAAGUG
rnacentral:rRNA from 1 species